CAAAAAAGGUGAUGCAAUAAUAGAACAGAAUGACUGAAACUGUAAUGAUAAGAGUAGGGGCAGGCUGGGCCAUAAAAGGUAAGGAGAGUAGAAGGGAAAAAGUGACUGAUGAGUCCAUGGAAGAGAGGGCCAAGAAAGAAGGAUCCACAGAAGAAUGAGGCCAUCCAAGGAACUGAGCGAGGGAUGACUGCCUGUGCCCAGGGAGGAGUGAAUAAAUGUUAAAAUGAGCUUCACAAAGAUUAAUUUAUUUUUAAUGAGACUUGAAGAGUGCUAAUAGAUUCUAAUCCCUGAACAAAAGGAAAGUUCAAGCCAGCAAAAUGGACAAAAUCAGCAGUAUUGAAAUUGAAAUGGCGACAGAUCGAAGCCUGAGCGAGAAGAAUAGAGCAAGAAGACAGAGCAAACAGUACAAGGUCCCAGAAAUAAUAGGAAGUGAUAGGAACAGAUUUUUAAAUGGAUGGUUUACCUUUAUUAGGAGAAUGUUCAAGACACGAAGGAAAGAAGAAAGGAUAAAACAGAGGCAUACAUGUUCAUAAUAAAAGAGACAAGAAUUGAAAGGACUUUCUCUCUGAUAACUUCUAC